AGACCGGAAACGGAGGAGAGCGCGGGGGAUGUGUUUGGCAUGGGGACGCACUGUUACAGUUGCGCUCCUGGUUGGCUUUGUGUUUCCGCGGUGUUGGUAGAGUCUCGGUGUUUCUACCUCUUAGCACCCUUUCCUGCCACCCUUUGUCCUGUGGAAGCCCGGAGACAUCAGCGGCUGCAAUUUUGCUACUCGCUGCUCGGCAUGGAACGGUCAGGUACCGCAGUUCAGCGCUCUUGGCCCCGCAGGUCCUCGGGCAUCCCCGUGCCCCGUGCUGUACAUUCAGUUAUCCUCCGACUUCCCGGGGUCGAAGGUAUUACCUGCUGGGUUUUAGAAUCUAUUGCUUUACAUCUGAGAAAAGAAAAAUCCCAGAAAGAUAAGAUGACUUGCCCAAGAUCAUAGCGUGCCUGGAAAACAGUGCUCCGAUUACAAGCUGGUCGCUGUGCCUCAUUCGUCUUGUCAUCAACUCCUGUCAGUUUAUCCAAGCUCCAAAAGCGAAGUUGUUUUAGCUUUUGCUUCCCAAGAUUUAUUUGAUAGUCUCAUUUCUGUUUCCUUCGUUUAUUCUUUCGUUCAUUAUUGGAAAACUUUACAGCGUGCCAGUACUGGUCAUAAACCCCAAUGUGUCUUAGGCCUUAGUGAGCUGUGAGGUGCAUGACCUUAGGUAAGUUACUUCUCUGAUUUUCAGUUUCCUUAUCUGCAAAAUGGAGACCUUAGGGAGUUAAUGUGGGUAUGAGAAAUGUACAUAAAACAUAUUGCACAAGGUGAGGCAUGUAGUGUAUGCUAAUAAAUGGUAAGUUGCUGCUGCUAUGGUUGUUAACAAUAAUUAUAAAAAGCAAAUGGAAAAGGCUUGAAUUGAAAAAAAUUUAGACACAUAGUUUUUUUCCUUAUUAGCCUGCACUGUAUUUUUCAUUUUUUUUAAUGCAUCUUUCCAGGACAAAAAAUAAUAUCCAAAGAUAUUUUGGCACUAACAGCGCUAUCUGUAGCAAGAAAGUUGAGCAGUGUGAACUGUUGAGACUUCCAAGAAGACUUCAGAGAACCAAGACAGUGUAAAGGAAAACAGGAAAAAAGACUUGUUAGACAUUAUUAAGGGCACGAAAGUUGAAUUGAGCACAGUAAAUGUACAAACAACAAAGCCACCCAACAGAAGUCCACUUAAAAGCUACAACUGGCCCGCCUCAAAGAGCUACAGAGCAUGCUCCAAAGAAGAGAAAUGAGCCCGUGAGUCCUGAGUUGGUGGCAGCUGCAUCUGCUGCUCUGUUUUGACAAGCAAACAAGCCAGAACUGCUCAGGCAGCUCCGUAGCAUGAGGAAGAGUCAGGGGCACAGAGAGAUGGAGAGAGACCUAGUUAGAGAGCGAACCAUGUGCUGGAUUUAGCCAGUCCUGCAUUUUUCUAUACUUCAAAUCAAAACGGGCCAUGCUUCACAUCUACCCAUGAUGAAUAGGGGUACUUUGAUUAAGAAUAAAUAGAGCUGACUGAAUUCUGAACAAGAAAAACAUAUUCAAGGGGAAGAGAUGUAAUAGUUUUGACGUGACGACAGUUACUAAAGAAGCACCUGAACAGACACAUCACCUUCACUUUGGGAUGUGGAAUUUGCUAAAUAAGCCACAGAAAAUGAACAUCCCUUCAGAAUGGGUUUGAAGAGCUGAUCCAGUGGAUUAAAGAGGGGAAACUGGGAGUUUCCAAUUAACAAUGAAGCAGGAGCUGACUAAGGCUUUGGAACAGAAACCAGAUGAUGCACAAUAUUAUUGUCAAAGAGCUUAUUGUCACAUUCUUCUUGGGAGUUACUAUGGAUCUGUAAAUAACUGACGAAAAACCCAUCUGUUUCUACGUAGUUGCUGUUGCCGACACAAAGAAGUCUUAUGAACUCAAUCCAAAUAAUUCCACUGCUAUGCUGAGAAAAGGGGGCUGGCGGCAUGGAGUCUUGCUCUGUCACCCAUCCUCGAGUGCAAUGGCACCAUCUUAGUUCACUGCAGCCUUGAAUUCCAGGGCUCGAGCCAUCCUUCUGCCUCUGCCUCCUGAGUAGGUGGGACUACAGGCAUGUGCCACCAUACUGAGCUAAUUUGUUAAACACUUUUUUUGUAGAGACGAGGUCUUGCUACGUUUCCCAGACUGGUCUCUGAACUCCCGGCCUCAAGUGAUCCUACUGCCUUGGCCUCCCAAAGUACUGGCAUAAUAGACAUGAGCCACUGCACCUGGCUCCUAAGUUCUUUUCUUGAAUAAUAUCUUUCUUUUUUUUUAUUUUUUGAGGUGGAGUCUCACCCUGUUGCCCAGGCUGGAGUGCAAUGGCGUGAUCUCGGCUCACUGCAACUUCUACCUCCCGGGUUCAAGUGAUUCUCCUGCCUCAGCCUCCUGAAUAGCUAGGAUUACAGGCGUGCGCUACCACGCCUGGCUAAUUUUUUGUGUCUUUAGUAGAGAUGCGGUUUCACCAUGUUGGCCAGGCUUGUCUCGAACUCUUGACCUCGUGAUCCACCCGCCUUGGCCUCCCAAAGUGUUGGGAUUACAGGCGUGAGCCACCACGCCUGGCCAAGUAAUAUCUUAAUAUCAUGCCAUUGACAUUUAUCCUCUAAUUAUUUCAGAGGUGGCCUUCAGAAGAAGGCCUCUUUGGUAAAAUUGCUAUUGAGGAUAUUUCACUGAAAAACAAAUUUAUCUUUAAAUUUAAAUCCAGGAAAAAUUUAAACUUUCAGGCUUCUAUUUUUAUCAGACAGGGUAAAAAAUUUAUAACUCAGAAUAUUACCCUUUCCCCUCUUUGUGUGAUGGAUUGCUUGGUUUUAGUUACUGAUUAUUUAAAAUAAUAAGUUAUUCAAAUCUAGGAUUUUGAUACAAUAGUUCUUCUCUAGAAUAUAGUGUGUGUGUGAGAGUAUAUUUAAAAUUUUUAUUAAGGCCCAUGGGGCAGCCUUUGAGGAAACCAGACCUUGGGGAUCGCCAGGCAGGAUUAGUGGCAGGAAUUGAGAGAACAGAGCCCCACAGAGCUCCUCGGGGACCGUCCCCCAGUCACAAGAGUAUCUCAAGGAAGUAGUCUUCUCCCACAUCCCCCAAAGAUAACUACCAGAGGGUCAGUUCUCUGAGCCCUUCUCAGUGUAGAAAAGACAAGUGUCAAAGCUUCCCCACUCACCCUGAGUUUGCCUUCUAUGACAAUACGUCGUUUGGCCUCACUGAGGCUGAGCAGAGGAUGCUGGACCUCCCAGGAUAUUUUGGGUCAAAUGAAGAGGAUGAAACCACAAGUACACUUAGCGUGGAGAAGCUGGUGAUCUAGACUGAGAAUCAGCCUGAGCUUAACACAGCUGGGGUCUGCUACUCGCGUUUUGUAGACUUUUGUGUAACUAUUUGUACCGUAGGACAGAAUGUGAGGAGGAAGUAACACACACAGAGGAGGAUGUGUGUGUGUGCAUGUGUUUGAAUUCACAAGGAAGAAAUUAUUUAUCUUGAGCUUUUUCCUUUGUUAUUCAGUUUUUAUUGGUUUAUUACUAAUAAUGAUAAUAAAAUGUAAACAAGAGCAAA